rnacentral:rRNA from 1 species
UACGUAGGGUGCAAGCGUUAUCCGGAAUUAUUGGGCGUAAAGAGCUCGUAGGCGGUUUGUCGCGUCUGCUGUGAAAACUGGAGGCUCAACCUCCAGCCUGCAGUGGGUACGGGCAGACUAGAGUGCGGUAGGGGAGAUUGGAAUUCCUGGUGUAGCGGUGAAAUGCGCAGAUAUCAGGAGGAACACCGGUGGCGAAGGCGGGUCUCGUGGGCCGUAACUGACGCUGAGGAGCGAAAGCGUGGGGAGCGAACAGG